GAUUUUUAUCUUGCUGAUAUUUAUGGUAAAUUUAAGGUAUAUGAAAAAUAAUUUUUAAGCUAAUUAUUUAAGUAAUUAUUNACGAAAUAAUAUUAGGGCUAGAGUUAAGAGUACUGUGAAGGAAAGAAAAAGAAAAUUUUUAAAAGUAGAAGUGUAUUUUUGUACCUUGUGUAUUAUGGAAAAUCUAUAUGGUUUAAUAAUAUUUAAGGAUCUCGAAAUAAAAAUAGCUAAUUUUAUAAAAUAGUUUAUAUGGGAUAUUAAUUUUGAAUAUAAAAUUAAAGGUGAAAUGUUAUUCGAGUUUUAUUAUAUCUAGUUUUUUAAGAGAUAAAUGUAAUUUAGGAGUUGUAAAUAUUAAGUACAAAUAAAAAGAAUAGGAGGGAUUAGCUUCUUAUUUUAAGGAUAAAAAAUAGUUAGAUCUAAAAUGUGAGGGGUUUAUUUAGGCUUAAAGGUAGCUAUAUUUAUAAAGUGUUUUAACUAAAAUAUAAUUAUAUAAUUUUUUUAUUAAACUUUUUUUUUUAUUAAAAAUUUAUUUUAAAUAGGGUUUUAUAAGAUAUAAUGAUUUUAUUAGUAGAAUAAUAUAAUUGAAAUUAAUUUUUUAAUAUUAAAAGAUUUUUAGAAAGAAGGAGGUAAUUUAAAGGAACUCGGCAAAUAUUUUCUUUGCCUGUUUACCAAAAACAUGUCUAUUUGAAGAUAUAAAAAGUCUAACCUGCCCACUGAUGUAAAUGUUUAAGGGCCNCGGUAUUCUAACCGUGCAAAGGUAGCAUAAUCAUUAGGUUUUUAAAUGGGAUCUUGUAUGAAUGGUUGAACAAAAGAAAAACUGUCUUUAAGUUAAAAUUUGAAUUUAACUUUUAAGUGAGAAGGCUUAAAUGGUUUAGAGGGACGAUAAGACCCUAUAAAGCUUUACAUUAAAAUUAUAUUUUAUUAAAUUUAAUAAUAAAAGUUUAAUUUAAUUAUUUGUUUUAUUGGGGAGAUAAAAGUAAAAUUUAUGUUAACUGCUUUUUUAAAAAACAAUAAUAGGUGAUUAAAAUUUAAUAGAUCCUAAAUAUAGAUUAAAAGAUUAAGUUACUUUAGGGAUAACAGUGUUAUUUUUUUUAAGAGUUCAUAUCGAAAAAAAAGUUUGCAACCUCGAUGUUGAAUUAAGAUAUCUAUAUAAUGUAGUCGUUAUAUAAGAAGGU
rnacentral:rRNA from 1 species